UACGUAAGGCGCAAGCGUUGUCCGGAAUUAUUGGGCGUAAAGAGCUCGUAGGCGGUUUGUCGCGUCGACCGUGAAAACUUGGGGCUUAACUCCAAGCUUGCGGUCGAUACGGGCAGACUUGAGUUCGGCAGGGGAGACUGGAAUUCCUGGUGUAGCGGUGAAAUGCGCAGAUAUCAGGAGGAACACCGGUGGCGAAGGCGGGUCUCUGGGCCGACACUGACGCUGAGGAGCGAAAGCGUGGGGAGCGAACAGG
rnacentral:rRNA from 1 species